rnacentral:lncRNA from 1 species
UUGGACCAGGUGGUCUUGAAGGACUUUUCCAGCCUUAAUGAUUCUAUGAUUCUCCUCAGGCACCUGCAGCUCUUCAUGCGCCUCAGCUCCAUUCAAGCUCUGGAGAAGGUGUUCCUCUGCGCCAGCCAUUUAAAAGCCCUGCUAGCACAGUUGCGCUUCAGAAAUAGCUUGGCCUUCAGACAGAGACAAUUUGGAUCGUGGUGUUCCCUUCAUUUUGUCUUGCAUUGUUUCAGUUGUGGAAGCUGUGACAGUAAAUUUCCCUUUCUGAUAUACAGGCACAUGCUUUUCUAGAAACCUCACACGCUUUGUGCAACCCGGAGAGAGGACAAUGGCAAGAAGCAUUAGUUUUAAGUCUGCUUUGAAUUCUAUGACUGUAGGAAACAUAUUCUCAUUGUCUCCAGGGUCCUUGCCAAGACUUGCAAACCUUGAAGGUCUCUGCUGUAUAUCCCUUUCCUUCUCUUUGUUCCUGGCUCUCCAUUAGCUGUCAUUGACCACAGUGUACUGGGUCUGGCCACACACAGUUGGGCAUUUUUAUCUUGUCAGUGCAAAAUGUUGUCUUGGACACUACCUGUUUGUGUGAGUACUGUUAUUCUGCCUCAGUUGCUUGUUCCAGAGGUAACAGAUUUUUGUUACUCAGCAUGCCAAGAAAGGGGAUGUUUUGGAUUCAGCUGGUAACUUCCCCACUGUUUGAUUGUUAUCAUAUGUGGAUUUUUUACCUAGCACUAUUUUUAGACGUGAAUGAUUAUCAAGGCCAUAACAUCCUUUCUUUGAAUGGCAGUUCCCAAGAAAGGAAAGGAAACAUGCUGGUUCAGAUAUUCUGCUGUGUAUCUGAGCAGACUCACAGCAACAAGCCAUUAAUAAAAGCCAACCCUUAACAACAGUUUUCAGUCCUGUUGCUUUCUUUUAUAUCCAAAAGAAAGAGACAGAGAUAGAGUUAUAAGUAUAACUUAACUAUUUUAAUAAAUCUUAUAUAGUGCAUGGUUAUAUCAUUUUAUCCUUCGUUCAAUUACAUUAAUGUACAGUGCAUUAUAGCAUUAUCUGCAGGCGGUACAAAUAUAACAGAUGCACAGCUCAGUCAUGUGGAAAUUUUUUAAAGUGACCUGCUAUAAGGUUUACUGACACUCUUAUUUUACAAAAUGCUCCCCUGGCUCUUAGUUUCACGGAACUGUUGUGUACAAUUCUAUUAAAAUCCCAAGUAACUAUAAUUCCAUGUGAUUCUAUGUUUAACCUCAUAGACAAAAACAAGAAAGGUAUCAUAUUCCCAAGCUCACCAUUUGUUUUUAUUUUCAUUUUAGAAACGAUUCUGCUUCCUGUGCUUAUAACACUAAUAGUUUGCCAGUAGUCACACCUGCUUCCCAUCUCCACCCAAAUCCGGAGCCAGGGCUUCUCAGGAGAAUUGUCCUCAUCAUCCCUCCCUGACCAGGUGAGUGCCCUUUGCAAAUUCCAGCCACUGUGGCAAGCCAGCAGCAUUGUGACUGAAAACAU